rnacentral:rRNA from 1 species
UGGGGAAUAUUGGACAAUGGGCGCAAGCCUGAUCCAGCCAUGCCGCGUGAGUGAAGAAGGCCUUCGGGUUGUAAAGCUCUUUUACCAGGGACGAUAAUGACGGUACCCGCAGAAUAAGCUCCGGCUAACUUCGUGCCAGCAGCCGCGGUAAUACGAAGGGAGCUAGCGUUGUUCGGAAUCACUGGGCGUAAAGCGCACGUAGGCGGAUUAUUAAGUCAGGGGUGAAAUCCCGGGGCUCAACCUCGGAACUGCCUCUGAUACUGAUAGUCUCGAGUCCGGAAGAGGUGGGUGGAAUUCCUAGUGUAGAGGUGAAAUUCGUAGAUAUUAGGAAGAACACCAGUGGCGAAGGCGGCUAACUGGUCCGGUACUGACGCUGAGGUGCGAAAGCGUGGGGAGCAAACAGGAUUAGAUACCCGGGUAGUCCCUGAGCGGGCUGGCAAGGCGCAU